AUCACCUGAACGCGCAGACAAUCAACACCUGCUGCUUACGGCAGGAGGAGGUUAGCGCGGUGCUGUUAGCUAACAGCUAAAAUGCUAACCACAGUUGUUCAGACUUGUAACUGUCGCUCCCAGAAACGAAUCUUGUCUGGACAAGGAAAACGGAGGUUUACCGCGGUUUUCAAAUGUGGGAACCACGGACAUGCUGGGACGCUAAGCUCGCUCGGCCCUGGCAGAGGAAUGGCGCACUUUUACGGUUACAGCGCGGCGGUAACGGGCUAACUGACACCGGAAGGAGGUUGAAGAAAGUGCGCCACAAAACCACAACCCAAGAAUUCGUCGGACACCAAGUCAGGGAGGAAAGAUUCACCUGAGUGUUUCACACUUUUCUCUCUGUACCGCUGGUCCCCACUCCAGAUCUGAUCUUUCGCCACUGACUUUGAUAUCUUAAGCACUGACACCUGUUUCGACACCAUCUGCUGGAAACUUGCAACAAAAAGGAUUCAUGAGGAAGAAACAGUCCAAAGUGUGACGUCAUGUGUGGAGCCCAGGUAGAUUGUAUAGAUGUAUACUGGAGCAAUUAGUUUCCAAUCAGCAUCAACAUGCUAAUUUCUCUUUGUCUUGGAAGAAAGUUGUACUCCAUUUACAUCUGAAAUGUCCACUGAAUGGAGAGGGACGAUUGGUGGAUGUACACUCAUGAACAGCAGACGUGCACAUUUCAGUUCAUACAUGCACAUGCCUACUAUUGCAUACAUACAUGUCCUCAUGUCUCAUCCAGGUUGUCUCCAUCUUUUCGAUGACGAGAAACCCUCCAGUACAAUUUGCACUAUGGUGUUUGGAUAUAAUGAUAAACUAUAGAAAACACAAAACCUUAAAAAGCGAAUUAUUGAUAUUCACGCACAGUAAGUAUUUCCAUUACAUAUAAAUAUAAUUUUACACAGUAACA